rnacentral:rRNA from 1 species
UACGGGGGGAGCAAGCGUUGUUCGGAUUUACUGGGCGUAAAGGGCGCGUAGGCGGUCGUGACAAGUCACUUGUGAAAUCUCCGGGCUUAACCCGGAAAGGUCAGCCGAUACUGCGGGGCUAGAGUGCAGAAGGGGCAACUGGAAUUCUCGGUGUAGCGGUGAAAUGCGUAGAUAUCGAGAGGAACACCUGCGGCGAAGGCGGGUUGCUGG